UACGAAGGGGACUAGCGUUGUUCGGAAUCACUGGGCGUAAAGCGCACGUAGGCGGAUGUGUCAGUCAGGGGUGAAAUCCCGGGGCUCAACCUCGGAACUGCCUUUGAUACAGCACGUCUCGAGUCCGGAAGAGGUGGGUGGAAUUCCUAGUGUAGAGGUGAAAUUCGUAGAUAUUAGGAAGAACACCGGUGGCGAAGGCGGCCCACUGGUCCGGUACUGACGGCUGAGGUGCGAAGCGUGGGGAGCAAACAGG
rnacentral:rRNA from 1 species